rnacentral:rRNA from 1 species
UUUAAGGGCCGCGGUAUUUUGACCGUGCAAAGGUAGCAUAAUCAUUAGUCUUCUAAUUAAAGGCUGGAAUGAAGGGUUGAACGAGGUAUUAGCUGUCUCAUUUAAAUUAUUUUAAAUUUAACAUUUUAGUGAAAAGGCUAAAAUUAAGUUGGAGGACGAGAAGACCCUAUAGAGCUUGAUAAGAAAUUUUAAAAUUUAUAUAGAAGAAGAAAAAUUUUUAGGAGUCUUUAUUUUGUUGGGGUGACAGGAAAAUAAAUAAACUUUUCUUAUAAAAAUCCACUGGUGAGUGAAUAAUUGGUCCAUUUGUAGUGAUUAUAAGAUUAAGUUACCUUAGGGAUAACAGCGUAAUUUUUUUUGAGAGUUCUAAUCGACAAAARRGUUUGCGACCUCGAUGUUGGACUAAGGGAAAUUUUGGGUGUAGAUGUUCAAA